UAAAGUGGCGUACGGGUGAGUAACACGUGGGUAAUCUACCUCUGGGUGUGGAAUAACGCUGGGAAACCGGCGCUAAUACCGCAUAAGCUCGGGAGAGGAAAGCAGCAAUGCGCCGAGAGAGGAGCCCGCGGCCGAUUAGCUAGUUGGUGAGGUAACGGCCCACCAAGGCAAAGAUCGGUAGCCGGCCUGAGAGGGCACACGGCCACACUGGCACUGAGACACGGGCCAG
rnacentral:rRNA from 1 species